rnacentral:rRNA from 1 species
UACGUAGGGAGCAAGCGUUGUUCGGAUUUACUGGGCGUAAAGGGCGCGUAGGCGGCGCUGUAAGUCACUUGUGAAAUCUCUGAGCUUAACUCAGAACGGCCAAGUGAUACUGCAGCGCUAGAGUGCAGAAGGGGCAAUCGGAAUUCUUGGUGUAGCGGUGAAAUGCGUAGAUAUCAAGAGGAACACCUGAGGUGAAGACGGGUUGCUGGGCUGACACUGACGCUGAGGCGCGAAAGCCAGGGGAGCAAACGGG